rnacentral:tRNA from 1 species
GGAAUUAUAGUUUAACUUAAAUCGUAAAGCUGUUAACUUUAAGAUGCUAAAUCUUUAGCUUGUUCCU